rnacentral:lncRNA from 1 species
CGGAGGCGUUUCCCCCCGCGCCGCCCACCCGCCAGCGCGCAGCAGGGGGGUUGAAGGAAGGACUCUGGGGUGGAGGGGGGCACCUGGGCCGCGCGCUUCCUCCUGGUGAAAAUUAACGAGGAAUGUGUCGGAAAAGGCUGGGCCUGACUGAGACGCCUAUUUGAACACAGUUCUUCUCCAAAUGCCUAUGACCUUCCUCCUAAGAUGAAUGGAGUAGCCGAGGCAUGUUCUUCUCUUGACAACUAUAGAAGCACAAUAGAAGGGAAGCCUAAACCAGGUAAGUCCUUUUCCAAAUAUUGUCGGCAUCACAUCUGUCAACAUGUUAUCAGCCAAAGCAAAUCAUGUGCUAAGGCUAAAGAGCAGGGAACUACAUCCACAGUAGAAGAGCACUACAAAAUGAUACAGUAAAAGGCUCGUACAGAGGAAAAUCUGAAGAAAUGGAGCUAGUGUGCAAUUUACCACAAACCGAUGUGACAUAAUUUAUUUAAACAACCUCAUAUUAGAAGGUUUUCUGCUUUUUGCUAUUACAAGGAGUGCAGCAAUGAUUAAUGAGUAUAUAUAUAUAUACAUUAUCUUUCACAUUUGCCAGUAUAUCUCUAGGGUAAAUCCUUAGAAUAUGAAUAUGGGCUUUUGUGAUUUUGAUAGGUACUGUCAAAGCACCAUUCAGAGAUUAUUGUAACAAUUUAUAUCUUCACCAAUAAUGUUGGGACUGUGUUAUCAUUUUUUCAUUCCUGCCAACCUUGCACAUGAAAAUGUAAUAUUUGUAUAGCUCUAAUUUGUAUUUUUUUAAUUAUAAGUGAGGUUGACAAUCUAUAUGUUUAAAAAUCACAAAUAUUUAUUUUUUAAAUCUGUAUGUUCAUAUGUUUUGCCCAUAUUGUUCGGAUUUUUUUCUUUUUCUAAUUGAUUUGUAUAUAUUGAAGAAAUUAGCACUUUAUUUUUUAAAUUAAGAGCCCUCAAAAACAAUAGCUCCUCUUAAUUAAGAACACCAAACAGAAUCAUAGGCCAGCUAGUUCACAGAGAGAGUCAGUGAAAGAGCAAAGAAGAAACCCAACCCCCCCAAGGUCAAAACACAGAUACUGACCUCAAACACUACCCCUGCUUGAAUUUGUUAAUUUAUGCCUUAAUCAUCUCAGAUUGCCAUAAUAAAAUAUCAUAAAUUAGGUGACUUAACCAAUAUGAAUUUAUUUCUCAUGGUUCUAGAGUUUGGGAAGUCUAAGAUCAAGGUGUUGUCAGGGUAGGUUACAUGCUGAGGCCUCAUAUCUUGGCUUGUAGGUAACAACCAUCUCUGUAUGUCCACGUGACCUUUUCUUUGUGUACAGGCAGAGAGGAAACUCUUCUUCUAAGGACAUUAAUAUUAUCAUGGACAUUAUCAUCAAUGGCUCACCUCCUAAUACUAUCACAUUGAGGCUUCAACAUGUGAAUUUGUUGGAGGGUGGAUGCAACCCCCCAUAACAUUUAGUUAAAAUGUUAUUAUAUAAAGAAAAGAAUUCAUUUUAAUUAUAAAAGGUAGUAUAAAUGCAUGUCUCUUAUUUUUCUUAACUGAUUUAAAACACAAUUGUAUAAAAUACCAUGUAUACAAUUAUAUGAUUAGAUAAGAACAUAUAGAAAUAUAUUUGCCGGGAUCCCUGGGUGGCGCAGCGGUUUGGUGCCUGCCUUUGGCCCAGGGCGCGAUCCUGGAGACCCGGGAUCGAAUCCCACGUCGGGCUCCCGGUGCAUGGAGCCUGCUUCUCCCUCUGCCUGUGUCUCUGCCUCUCUCUCUCUCUCUCUGUGACUAUCAUAAAUUAAUUAAUUAAUUAAUUAAAAAAUAUAUAUAUUUGCCAACAAUAGUACAAAGAAGGGUAAUGUUAACAAAGUCUUAUUGGGCUAAGAAAAUGACACUUGAUGGUAACUUGAAUCCAUGGAACAUAUGCAGAGAACCAAAAAGAGUAAAUAAGGUUAAUAAAACAAACUCUGUAAAUAUAAACUUGUUUUCCUCUCUUUACUUAGCUAGAUUAAUAGGAUAAAAUUAUACAAAGUGGGGAUCCCUGGGUGGCGCAGCGGUUUGGCGCCUGCCUUUGGCCCAGGGCGCGAUCCUGGAGACCCGGGAUAGAAUCCCACGUCAGGCUCCCGGUGCAUGGAGCCUGCUUCUCCCUCUGCCUGUGUCUCUGCCUCUCUCUCUCUCACUGUGUGCCUAUCAUGAAUAAAAAAAAAAAAAAAAAAAA